AACGCUGGCGGCGGGCUUACACAUGCAAGUCGAAGGAGAAGGAAGGAGCUUGCUCUUUCUGGAGACUGGCGCACGGGUGAGUAACGCGUAGACAACCUGCCUAUAGCUGGGGGAUAACAUCUCGAAAGAGGUGCUAAUACCGCAUAAUGCAGCGGGGCCGCAUGGUCACAGUUGUUAAAGCCUUCGGGCGGCUAUAGAUGGGUCUGCGUGCCAUUAGUUAGUUGGUAGGGUAACGGCCUACCAAGGCGAUGAUGGCUAGGGGGUCUGAGAGGAUGAUCCCCCACACUGGGACUGAGACACGGCCCAGACUCCUACGGGAGGCAGCAGUGAGGAAUCUUGCGCAAUGGAGGAAACUCUGACGCAGCCACGCCGCGUGCCGGAAGAAGGCCCUAUGGGUUGUAAACGGCUUUUAAUUGGGAAGAAGGAUAGGGUUUUGAUCUUAUUUGACGGUACCGAUUGAAUAAGCACCGGCUAACUCCGUGCCAGCAGCCGCGGUAAUACGGAGGGUGCAAGCGUUGUCCGGAAUCAUUGGGUGUAAAGGGUGCGUAGGCUGGCUCUUAAGUCUGAGGUGAAAUCUUGCCGCUUAACGGUAAAAUGGCCUUGGAUACUGGGAGUCUUGAAUCUGACAGAAGUCGGUGGGAAUUCGUAGUGUAGCGGUGAAAUGCAUAGAUAUUACGAAGAACACCANUGGCGAAAGCGGCCGGCUGGGGUCAGUAUAGACGCUGAAGCACGAGAGCGUGGGGGAGCGAACANGANUAGAUANCCUGGUAGUCCACGCUGUAAACGAUGUAUGCUAGUUGUUGG
rnacentral:rRNA from 1 species